rnacentral:rRNA from 1 species
UACGUAGGUGGCAAGCGUUGUCCGGAUUUACUGGGCGUAAGAGCGCGCAGGCGGUCGGAUAAGUCGAAUGUGAAAGCCCCCGGCCCAACUGGGGAGGGUCAUUCGAUACUGUUCGACUCGAAGGCAGGAGAGGGAAGUGGAAUUCCCGGUGUAGUGGUGAAAUGCGUAGAUAUCGGGAGGAACACCAGUGGCGAAGGCGACUUCCUGGCCUGUUCUUGACGCUGAGGCGCGAAAGCUAGGGGAGCAAACGGG